rnacentral:rRNA from 1 species
UAGGGAAUCUUCGGCAAUGGACGAAAGUCUGACCGAGCAACGCCGCGUGAGUGAAGAAGGUUUUUCGGAUCGUAAAACUCUGUUGGUAGAGAAGAACGUUGGUGAGAGUGGAAAGCUCAUCAAGUGACGGUAACUACCCAGAAAGGGACGGCUAACUACGUGCUAG